rnacentral:rRNA from 1 species
UACGUAGGUGGCGAGCGUUGUCCGGAAUCACUGGGCGUAAAGCGCGCGCAGGCGGCGAUCUACGUCUGGGGUGAAAGCCCGGAGCUCAACUCCGGGACUGCCUUGGAUACGGGAUCGCUUGAGGAUUGGAGAGGCAAGGGGGAAUUCCACGUGUAGCGGUGAAAUGCGUAGAGAUGUGGAGGAACACCUGUGGCGAAGGCGCCUUGCUGGCCAAUUACUGACGCUGAGGCGCGAAAGCGUGGGGAGCAAACAGG